UACGUAGGGGCAAGCGUUGUCCGGAUUUAUUGGCGUAAAGAGCGUGUAGGCGGCCAAGCAGGUCCGCUGUGAAAACUCGAGGCUCAACCUCGAGACGUCGAAUGGAAACCAUCUGGCUAGAGUCCGGAAGAGGAGAGUGGAAUUCCUGGUGUAGCGGUGAAAUGCGCAGAUAUCAGGAAGAACACCCGUGGCGAAGGCGGCUCUCUGGUACGUGACUGACGCUGAGACGCGAAAGCGUGGGGAGCAAACAGG
rnacentral:rRNA from 1 species